GCGCAGCCUGAUCCAGCCAUGCCGCGUGAGUGAUGAAGGCCCUAGGGUUGUAAAGCUCUUUUGUGCGGGAAGAUAAUGACGGUACCGCAAGAAUAAGCCCCGGCUAACUUCGUGCCAGCAGCCGCGGUAAUACAUGGGGUGCCAGC
rnacentral:rRNA from 1 species